UGCCAGCAGCCGCGGUAAUACGGAGGAUCCAAGCGUUAUCCGGAAUUAUUGGGUUUAAAGGGUCCGUAGGCGGUCUGAUAAGUCAGAGGUGAAAUCCUGCAGCUCAACUGUAGCAUUGCCUUUGAUACUGUUAGACUUGAGUUAUUGUGAAGUAGUUAGAAUGUGUAGUGUAGCGGUGAAAUGCAUAGAUAUUACACAGAAUACUAAUUGCGAAGGCAGAUUACUAACAAUUAACUGACGCUGAGGGACGAAAGCGUGGGUAGCGAACAGGAUUAGAUA
rnacentral:rRNA from 1 species